AGUGAACGCUGGCGGCGUGCCUAAUACAUGCAAGUCGAACGGAGUGGCGCACGGGUGAGUAAUAUAUAGCUAAUCUGCCCCUUGCUGGAGGACAACAGUUAGAAAUGACUGCUAAUACUCCAUAGCAAGGGAUGAGACUAUAUCGUAUCAGCUAGUCGGUGGGGUAACGGCCUACCGAGGCGAUGACGCGUAACUGGUCUGAGAGGAUGAUCAGGCAAAUUGGAACUGAGACACGGUUCAAACUCAUACGGGAGGCAGCAGUAGGGAAUAGUGCGCAAUGGGGGAAACCCUGACGCAGCAACGCCGCGUGGAGGAUGACACUUUUCGGAGCGUAAACUCCUUUUGUUAGGGAAGCGGUACCAACAGAAGAAGUGACGGCUAAAUACGUGCCAGCCGCCGCGGUAAUUC
rnacentral:rRNA from 1 species